UGUAUGUAACUUACUAAACAUACAUAACAUGACUUAACUUUGAUACUUUUUUGGUACAUUCCAGAAAACCAGGACCCCCUCCAUGAUGCAGGCUAUGGGGCCACAUAAAACUUUGUCCAGGGUUACUACAUAACAUAAAGAACCCCCUGAAUGAUGUAGGCUAUGGGGCCACAUAAGACUUUGUGCAUCCAGGGUUACAUAGCAGGACAACUUUAAACUAAAAAGCUACCAGACUGGGAUUUUAGUGUACUCCAGGAUCUACCAAAUACUACUACGAAGUGUACAGUGCAUAAUAUAGUGUUUAGUGUAUAAUCUAACCUAAGGAUUAAGUGUAGUA